CACAAAGCCAGCAAGAUGGUGUUCACUGUGGAUGAUUUGGGCUUUCAGCCUGGGAUGAACCUGUGGGUCUCUUUCAGGAUCCAACCCAGCUGUGAUGGGUUGUCAAUACAGCAGGAAAGUUUGCCAUUCUCGCUCUGACGGGAGGUGAGGGCACGUGAACGCGCAGAUGACGUAUGGUGUCUGAGUGAACAAGCUACGCGAUGACAUUCAAAUUACGCUUAUGGAUGAGGGAUAAAAAAAGGCAACGUCCGUUCGGACCGAGAUCUAUGAUUGGUUGAACAUUUUUGGUCCUACGCCUUUCACAGAUGACAUACAUUUCUACAAAUACAUUUAAACAACUUAACACAGUGAUUGCUAUCAGGAUGUGAGGAGACUUUUAACUAAAGCAUAACUAAAAAUGUUUCUGGAUCAAAUCUGAUACCCUGCCUUUAAAAAUGACAUAAACAAAUGACACUUAAUGACACUUGUCAUGAACGUGCAUAAAUCUUCUUCAUGUUCAUAAGACGUGUCAUGUCAUGAAUAUGAAGGUGUCAUAUCAAUCUUUUGAACACCCCUAUAAGUAAAGUGUUACCGAACUCUCUUCUAUACAUUACAUUAUUCCUAUCCUCGCUAGUACGAUUUAAUAGAGGCUGUACUCUUCUUCUUAUGUUGUCCACCGAAUUUUCUGUUUUUUCUCCUGCUUAUAUUAACCCUCAUAAGCCCCGAUUUUCCUGUAUACAUUAUAGUUCUGCGGGGAUAAAAUUCACAUAAAUUAUGAUCUAAAUUUGAUUUAAAUUGUUUUAAGGGUUGUGUGUUAAUCUAAAUGAAGUAGUUAUCUGUCAAAACUCUGAAUUGCUCCAGGUGAGGU